rnacentral:tRNA from 1 species
CCAUGGUUGAGUGGUAGAGCAUCUGCUUUGCAUGCAGAAGGCUCCAGGUUCAAUGCCUAGAAUCCCUAGUUGAAAGG